ACGAACGCUGGCGGCGUGCCUAACACAUGCAAGUCGAACGGGGUGCAGGGGGCAACUCUUGCACUUAGUGGCGCACGGGUGAGUAACACGUAGGAAACCUGCCCCAAGGUGAGGGACAACUCCGGGAAACCGGGGCUAAUACCGCAUAAGACCACGGGCUGAGAUGCCUGAGGUAAAAGCAGCAAUGCGCCAUGGGAGGGGCCUGCGGCCUAUCAGGUAGUUGGUGGGGUAAAGGCCCACCAAGCCGACGACGGGUAGCCGGUCUGAGAGGAUGAACGGCCACACUGGAACUGAGACACGGUCCAGACUCCUACGGGAGGCAGCAGUGGGGAAUUUUGCGCAAUGGGGGAAACCCUGACGCAGCGACGCCGCGUGGAGGACGAAGGCCUUCGGGUUGUAAACUCCUUUUGCAGGGGAAGAUAAUGACGGUACCCUGCGAAUAAGCCACGGCUAACUCUGU
rnacentral:rRNA from 1 species